UUCCAUUGCUUUCAAGGAGGCCUGGUCAGAUAACUUUACCUCAGCUCCAAAAAGAACGUCCAGUGAUCAUUGGGAUAGCUGCGGAGCUGUUUAGGGUUCUUAUCCUCAGUUCGCGAGAACGAUUUGGGAUGACAGUUACUGUAAGCGUAAUAGGUAGGCAAGUUGUACUUCAUGGACAAGAUAAGGCGAUUGUUCUCAGGAAGGAGGAUUGUGUUAUUUGGAUUCCUUUGGCGGGUCGAUUUUUCUUGAAGUUCAGCACCGAGAAGGCUAACGCACUGCUGAAUA